UACAGAGGGGGCAAGCGUUGUUCGGAAUUACUGGGCGUAAAGGGCGCGUAGGCGGCGCGGUAAGUCACUUGUGAAAUCUCUGAGCUUAACUCAGAACGGCCAAGUGAUACUGCAGUGCUAGAGUGUGGAAGGGGCAAUCGGAAUUCUUGGUGUAGCGGUGAAAUGCGUAGAUAUCAAGAGGAACACCUGAGGUGGAGACGGGUUGCUGGGCCAACACUGACGCUGAUGCGCGAAAGCCAGGGGAGCAAACGGG
rnacentral:rRNA from 1 species